rnacentral:rRNA from 1 species
CUAAUACCCAAUGAUAUCUCUAGAAGGCAUCUGAAAGAGAUUAAAGAUUUAUCGGUGAUGGAUGGGGAUGCGUCUGAUUAGCUUGUUGGCGGGGUAACGGCCCACCAAGGCAACGAUCAGUAGGGGUUCUGAGAGGAAGGUCCCCCACAUUGGAACUGAGACACGGUCCAAACUCCUACGGGAGGCAGCAGUGAGGAAUAUUGGUCAAUGGACGAGAGUCUGAACCAGCCAAGUAGCGUGCAGGAAGACGGCCCUAUGGGUUGUAAACUGCUUUUAUAAGGGAAUAAAGUGAGUCUCGUGAGACUUUUUGCAUGUACCUUAUGAAUAAGGACCGGCUAAUUCCGUGCCAGCAGCCGCGGUAAUACGGAAGGUCCGGGCGUUAUCCGGAUUUAUUGGGUUUAAAGGGAGCGUAGGCCGGAGAUUAAGCGUGUUGUGAAAUGUAGAUGCUCAACAUCUGAACUGCAGCGCGAACUGGUUUCCUUGAGUACGCACAAAGUGGGCGGAAUUCGUGGUGUAGCGGCGAAAUGCUUAGAUAUCACGAAGAACUCCGAUUGCGAAGGCAGCUCACUGGAGCGCAACUGACGCUGAAGCUCGAAAGUGCGGGUAUCGAACAGGAUUAGAUACCCUGGUAGUCCGCACGGUAAAC